rnacentral:lncRNA from 1 species
UAUAAAUGUUUUUUAAAUCAUGACAUCAUAACAUCGAUUUUUUUUUUUUUGUAGCAAACACAAAUGAUUUUCGGAGACAGCUUUUCUGCAGUAAAGAUGGGUUCAACAUCACCGUCCCACAGGAUGCCACAGUCCCCCCUCUGAACCUGGACUCAGUCUGGAUCCCUUCUGGCCAAAACCACAGCUGUAAACCCAAGAAAAUAUCUAGUGGUGCUGUCACAUUCAGCUUUCCAUUCACUGACUGUGGCACCCAGUCUGUGAUUGCACAUGGGAAUAUCACCUUCUGGAUCAAUGUUGAGUCUUACAGUACAGUGUAGCUUUGCACUGUCUCAGGUGUCCCAACUGGGCAUCAGGAUUCAGCAAAAAACACCCGAGUACCCAUCAGCACUGAAGGGC